CAUAUAUUAUCCACAAUUAACUCACGUAACUGGCCUCUCCACUUUUUUGAACGGCAAAUUAGGGUUUUAAUUGAAAAUUUAAAACAAGAAACAUAAAACUAUUCACCCUUAACAUCAUUCCAUCAGAGUCGAAGAACUGAACUUCUGCAGAAGUUGCUGGUGCGGGAUUGACGUUCUGUUUGUGCUUCUGCUUGAAAGGGAGAAAAGAAAUCUAAAUUAAAAACCAAUAUUCUAGUAAUGAGUAUGGUAGCAAAUAAAUGGUAGCAAUUGAGUAAAAAAUGGUGGCUAAAUGGUGGCAAUAUCAGUGGCUAAAUGGUAUCAAAACUCGCAAAUUAUGUGAAAAAUGAUGGCUAAAUGGUGGCAAUAUCGGUGCUAAAUGGUGGCAACAUAGGUGGCUAAAUGGUAUCAAAAUGUGCAAAAACCGAUGGCUAAAUGGUGGCUAAAUGGUGGCAAUAUCGGUGGCUAAAUGGUGGCAAUAUCGGUGGCUAAAUGGUAUCAAAACGUACAAAACCCGAUGGUUAAAUGGUAGCAAAUCAGUGGCUAAAUGGUAUGAAAAUGCGUCACAACUCGGUGGCAAACAAGGUGGAGCGUAGCAAACAUGAAGCGGUGACAAAUAAUUUUGACCAAUUUUGUGGUGGUAAAAUAAGGUAGCAAAAUAUAAAAAUGGUGGCAAUUUGGUGGCAUUAGGGCAAUUGACACGGGUGUUUUUGUCACCGUAUUUUCGGUGGCAAACUGGUGACAAUAAGGAAAUUGCUACCAUUUUGUAACCAAAAUUUACAUGACAAAAACCAUGUUUUCCAGUAGUGAACAUAAUUAACUAGUCUUGUGACAACUCGAGUUUCCAAGAUUCCACUUUUGCAUUUAUUGCACGUUCACUGUUUGUUAAGUUGUUCACUUGCACAAUUGGUUUGCUUUGUAACUGUAUACGUUUUGGAUUUGAUAAGGUUUAUGAAUGAUUUGUCAAA